rfam:Picea glauca, whole genome shotgun sequence.
AUAACGGUGUCUUUAGACACCACCUUUUGUCUUCAAAAUCUUAUUU